rnacentral:rRNA from 1 species
AUACGAAGGGGGCAAGCGUUGUUCGGAAUAACUGGGCGUAAAGAGCACGUAGGCGGUGUCAUGCGUCAGAUGUGAAAGACCUGGGCUUAACCUAGGAACUGCAUCUGAAACGGUGACGCUAGAGAUCGAGAGGGGAGAAGGGAAUUAUGCGUGUAGAGGUGAAAUUCGUAGAUAUGCAUAGGAACACCGGUGGCGAAGGCGCUUCUCUGGCUCGAAACUGACGCUAAGGUGCGAAAGCGUGGGGAGCAAACAGGAUUAGAAACCCUAGUAGUCC